GGGCGCUUGGUCUAGGGGUAUGAUUUUCGCUUCGCAUCGUGAGUGGUAAACAAACUAUGCGAGAUUGUGAAAGGUCGUGGGUUCAAUUCCCACAGUGUCCA